CCUANGGGAGGCUGCAGUCGGGAAUUUUGGGCAAUGGGCGAAAGCCUGACCCAGCAACGCCGCGUGAGCGAUGAAGGCCUUCGGGUCGUAAAGCUCUGUCGAGAGGGAAGAAUGUUCUCGGGGUGAAUAAUCCCGGGGAAACGACGGUACCUCUAAAGGAAGCGCCGGCUAACUCCGUGCCAGCAGCCGCGGUAAUACGGAGGGCGCAAGCGUUGUUCGGAAUCACUGGGCGUAAAGCGCGUGUAGGCGGCUUGGUAAGUCGGGUGUGAAAGCCCGGGGCUCAACCCCGGAACUGCACUCGAAACUGCUUCGCUCGAGUCCCGGAGAGGGUGGUGGAAUUCCCGGUGUAGAGGUGAAAUUCGUAGAUAUCGGGAGGAACACCAGUGGCGAAGGCGGCGCUCUGGAACGUUUCUGACGCUGAGGCUCGAAAGCGUGGGGAGCAAACAGGAUUAGAUACCCGGNUANUC
rnacentral:rRNA from 1 species